rnacentral:rRNA from 1 species
CUCAGAUUGAACGCUGGCGGCAUGCCUUACACAUGCAAGUCGAACGGCAGCGGGCCUUCGGGUGCCGGCGAGUGGCGAACGGGUGAGUAAUGCAUCGGAACGUGCCAUUGAGUGGGGGAUAACGUAGCGAAAGUUGCGCUAAUACCGCAUAUUCUGUGAGCAGGAAAGCAGGGGACCGCAAGGCCUUGCGCUCUUUGAGCGGCCGAUGUCAGAUUAGCUAGUUGGUGAGGUAAAGGCUUACCAAGGCGACGAUCUGUAGCGGGUCUGAGAGGAUGAUCCGCCACACUGGAACUGAGACACGGUCCAGACUCCUACGGGAGGCAGCAGUGGGGAAUUUUGGACAAUGGGGGCAACCCUGAUCCAGCCAUGCCGCGUGAGUGAAGAAGGCCUUCGGGUUGUAAAGCUCUUUCGGCCGGGAAGAAAUCGCAUGGGCUAAUACCCUGUGUGGAUGACGGUACCGGAACAAGAAGCACCGGCUAACUACGUG